rnacentral:rRNA from 1 species
GAUGAACGCUGGCGGCGUGCCUAAUACAUGCAAGUCGAGCGAACAGAUGAGGAGCUUGCUCCUCUGACGUUAGCGGCGGACGGGUGAGUAACACGUGGAUAACCUACCUAUAAGACUGGGAUAACUUCGGGAAACCGGAGCUAAUACCGGAUAAUAUAUUGAACCGCAUGGUUCAAUAGUGAAAGACGGUUUUGCUGUCACUUAUAGAUGGAUCCGCGCCGCAUUAGCUAGUUGGUAAGGUCACGGCUUACCAAGGCAACGAUGCGUAGCCGACCUGAGCGGGGGAUCGGCCACACUGGAGCUGGGACACGGUCAAGACUCCUACGGGAGGCAGCAGUAGGGAAUCUGCCGCAAUGGGCGAAAGCCUGACGGAGCAACGCCGAGUGAGUGAUGAAGGUCUUCGGAUCGUAAAACUCUGUUAUGAGGGAAGAACAAAUGUGUAAGUAACUAUGCACGUCUUGACGGUACCUAAUCAGAAAGCCACGGCUAACUACGUG